GUAAGUGGCAGAGUGGCCU
rnacentral:snRNA from 1 species